CGUCUGGCAUCACAGGGUAACUGUGUCAUAUUUGCUUAUGUCCUCUCCUAAGUAACACUGAAAGCUUCCUGAAGGCACAGACGAGAUCUUCGAUUUUGGUUUUUGUUUGCUGCCUGCCUAUACACAUUAUAAUUAUGUGCCAAGUAGUUGCUGAGCUGACUUGAUAUGAUUGAAGUAAGCUAAGAAAAGACUUCCCAGGUAGGAGGGAAUGCAAGAGGCUACUACUAUAUUGGAUGAGGCUAUAAAACUCCAAGAAGUUCCUGACAGGCAGGAACUAUUACUUGAAGUAAAUAAGAUAAAACCAAAUGGGAAUAACUGUAAAUGAUCAUACUUGGAUCUGAAAAAAAUAACUGUAAAAGUGAAAAAAAAUUCAGCUUGCCAGAAAAUGGCAAGCAUGAGGAGACAGAGUGUAGUAUGGUCACCAGAGCACUAAAGCCACCACAGUCUCCUCGAACAGAGGCCAAGAAUACGGGAGUUUGGUUCUGGGCACCAGGCGUGAAGAGGUAUACUAACAAACCGUGGUGUGCCAGGAGACCAUGGACCCAGAGACCACGGACCCGGACAAGGAGUGGCAGGAAGCCCUAUCAUACAGCAAGGGUUUAAAAGAGUGGAGAGGAUUGGGGAGAACAAGGAACGUUCAGUGUGGAGAAGGUGAACAAAAUCGUCUCUCUCCUUUUUCCUUUUCUUCUCCCCUUUUCUUCUACAUGCCUACCAUCUUCUAUUUUCCUACCUCCUCUCCCACUGAGAGUUGUCUCAUUAGGGAUUUACUGAGCACAUGCUACAUGCCCCAAACCAUGCUCAGUUAUAAGAAUUCAAGACUAUGCACGACGCAGCCACCGUGCUUGAGAAGCUUACCUCCGGUAGAAGGUGAAAGGCGUGCAAGCAAAGGAAGGUAUACAUCACAUGGGAGGUGCAUCCGAAGCACAGAGAGAAAUGUAGAUGAUCUUCAGAUGGGAAAAGAUGCAUUCCGUCCAGCCCUAGAAAGCGAUCUCAUAAAGUCAAGAACCUCUCUCAAGCCACAUUUCAACAGACAAAAAGGACAAGAAUCACACAGAUAAAUGAGCAGGGCACACAGGACUCAGAUGUGGAUCUGAACUCUAAUCUGACUUUACUGGAUGACUUCCGGAGCAAGCAGUCUAACCUGUGUGUCUAUUCCUCUACUAUCACAUGCUGUUAGCAGUAGUACAGGGCUCCCUGCCUAAAAAUGGGAAAAAAUACAAAGAAAUGUAAAGAAUGACUAAAAUGAUUAAUGUUCAAACAUAUCACAGAGGAAUCAGGGAACUUAAUUUGGGCCGCAUUUCAGUUCUCCCUUGUGUGGAGGGGCAGCCUGGUCCAGAGGGUAGUAAGUGGGCUUUCCAGCAAAAGGGUUAAGUGUUGGAACCCUAGCAGCUCUGCUAUUUAUAAGCUGCACGGCCUUGGCUGUGUUAGGGAACUCCUUGAAUCUUAGUUUCCUCAUCUGGAAAUGAGUGAGUGUAUCAUGAUAAAGUGAAUAUUGUGAAAUGGUCAUGGGCACUGGCUAGGCAGCCCAGACCCUAACUGUGCUGAGCAGUCCAGGCCAUCACUGCACUGAGCAAGCCAUUUUAACUUCUGGGUCUCAACAGCUCAUCUGUAAAAUGGGAAUAACGAUGCUACUUAGGGUUAGGGUUGCUGGGAGCAUUCCAAGACAGGGGCCUUAUCUGAUGAGUUAUCUGGCAUUCCUGGUAAAUAUUAAGCACAUAGUAAAUGUAAGUGAUUACUGCUAUCUGUAAAAUGAGUAUAAUAACCACCACCAUGUUCAUUCCAAAAGUAAAUGAGUUAAUGGAAGCAAAGGCAUUCAUUCAUCAAGUGCUAUAUUAAAAUGAUUACUACUCUCUUUAGGAGCCCACAAGGUCAAGGCUCUGCUGUGUGACAAGGGUUAUGUUUCUCAGUGUUGCUGAGCCUUAGUUGCUUCACCUGUAAAAUGGGUAUGAUAAUACUAUCUCAGAGUUGUUAUAAGGACUAAAUAAUAUACUGUAACAGGCAAAUCAUCAUUAUCAUUCAAAAAUAUUAAAAAUCUGACUCUAAACCAUGCAGGGUGGCUGGGGUAUCUAGUGUCAUUCUUGAAGUUUUCCAAGAUCAGACUCAACACAAUUCAUUGCGAUGCCUGGCACAUAGUUAGUGCUCAAUAAGCAAACACUCAAGGAACCUCCCAGCGUGGCUGGAGUGAAUAAUGAAAUUUUAUAAUGAAGUAGUAAUUACUCAUUCUCCAACUUCCCCUUAGGCUCUAAAAGAAGUUGUAUUAAUGACAUUUUAGUUUUUACAUCAAAUCACUGACUUCCAGAAUAUACAGUAGAACCGUGUAUGAAAGGAUAGUUUUGCUUUUAGUGGAGGUCCUUCCUGAAGACAACCAAGAUUAUAGAAAAUAACUUCUCACUAUCCUUAACAAGUGAGAUCUCUCUCUGGUUUUUUGUCCCAGAGGAGAGACUGCAGAGCCCAGCCAAUCUCUUUCAGGGUGACCAUCCUAAGAUUCUACGAGAAUGCCCAACUUAAGGAGAGAGAGUUACUACAGAAAAAUAAAACACAAGAACUACCAUACGGGGUUCACUAGAUCUCAUAGAAAUAAUGUAAACA